rnacentral:rRNA from 1 species
GUGGGGAAUCUUGCGCAAUGGGCGAAAGCCUGACGCAGCCAUGCCGCGUGAAUGAUGAAGGUCUUAGGAUUGUAAAAUUCUUUCACCGGGGACGAUAAUGACGGUACCCGGAGAAGAAGCUCCGGCUAACUUCGUGCCAGCAGCCGCGGUAAUACGAAGGGGGCUAGCGUUGCUCGGAAUUACUGGGCGUAAAGGGCGAGUAGGCGGACAGCUUAGUCAGAGGUGAAAGCCCAGGGCUCAACCUUGGAAUUGCCUUUGAUACUGGCUGUCUUGAGUUUGGGAGAGGUGAGUGGAACUCCGAGUGUAGAGGUGAAAUUCGUAGAUAUUCGGAAGAACACCAGUGGCGAAGGCGACUCACUGGCCCAAUACUGACGCUGAGGCGCGAAAGCGUGGGGAGCAAACAGGAUUAGAUACCCUGGUAGUCC